AUGAUUCGAGAAACGCACUUCGGAGUCCCGAUCUGAAUCAGAUGUUUUUGAACUCCGAAGCAGAUCUCAAAUUAUUCGCGAAAGGCGCUUUGGAGUCCCGAUCUGAUUCAAAUGUUUUGCGAACUUGUAAGCUGCUCAUCCUUAAAUAAGGGGAGUGUUAAUACUGAGAGCGUCCUCCCUGUUUUCCCAUGACGCGCUGGGGAAAAGGAACACCUGUGUGGCAUUAGUAAUUAGAGAAGCAUCAUAAAUGUAUGAUGUAUUGGUUGUUGCAGGAGGGUGUUCCGUGUUUUUGCUGCUGAGUUCCUUACCAAAGCUGCUGUGCCGGGACGUGGGUUUAAGAUUGUUGUGUAACUCGUGUCGCGGGCGAAUCCAUCGGGGAGGCAUAUUUUGCUGGGGUUUAGCAUGAUGUCACUAGCAGGUGUGUAGAUGAUGCUGAUGUCAAUAACAGGUGAGGAGGAGCAUGAUGUCACUAACAGGUGAGGAGGAGCAUGAUGUCAAUAGCAGGUGAGUAGAUGAUGCUGAUGUCACUAGCAGGUGUGUAGAUGAUUCUGAUGUCACUAGCAGGUGUGUAGAUGAUGCUGAUGUCACUAGCAGGUGUGUAGAUGAUGCUGAUGUCACUAGCAGGUGUGUAGAUGAUGCUGAUGUCACUAGCAGGUGUGUAGAUGAUGCUGAUGUCACUAGCAGGUGAGGAGGAGCAUGAUGUCACUAGCAGGUGUGUAGAUGAUGCUGAUGUCACUAGCAGGUGAGGAGGAGCAUGAUGUCACUAGCAGGUGUGUAGAUGAUGCUGAUGUCACCUAGCAGGUGUGUAGAUGAUGCUGAUGUCACUAGCAGGUGUGUAGAUGAUGCUGAUGCCACUAGCAGGUGUGUAGAUGAUGCUGAUGUCACUAGCAGGUGAGUAGAUGAUGCUGAUGUCACUUGCAGGUGUGUAGAUGAUGCUGACGUCACUAGCAGGUGUUUUUUCCAGCUCCUUUAUUUUUCCCAUGCCUCAGCAAGAGAACUUAAUUAAAAAAGCAAACAACAAUACAUGUAUUAUUUUGUGUUAAACAUUACACUUUAAUAAAAACAACUCAUUCAUUUGGAGAGUUAAUAUCACAUUUAUGCAAUAAUACACCAGUUACUUAGAACAUCAAUUCAAAGUUAAAUAACCUACAAACCAUUAUAAAAUCAUUUGAAUUCUGCUUGUACAACAGGUGUUUGUUCAACUGCUCGUAUUUCCUACAUUGUUGUGGAUUUUAUUGAUAACUUUAAAUGUCUUUGUUAAUUUUGUGUGAUUUUAAGCCAGAAAGAGAGCAGUAUAAAAGGGUGAUGGCAAAAGUAUAAAAACACAGCUUCACUAACCUGCUCGACUGUUAGCAUAACUGCUACCAUGUACUAUAUUUUACAUUUAUUCAUUUAGCAGACAAUUUUAUCCAAAGCGACUAACAGAUGAAGACAUGUGGAAGCAAUCAAAAAAACAAAAAGAGCAAUGAUAUAUAAGUGCUAUAACAAGUCUCAGUUAGGUUAACACAGUUGUCACGUUUAUGAACUUUCUUUUUCCUUUUUUGGUCUUCCUGUUCUUGUUUUGGUUAAGUGAUUGAUCCCCACCUGUUUAUAGUUCCCUCAUCACCUCCUGAGUGUUUAAAUACCCGGUCUGUUCAGUUCUCCCUCGUCCGUGAUUAAAUGUAUUGUACUGGAAGACACAGCCCACGGUGCGAGAUCGACCGUACUCCGGUUGGACACGGACCUCAUCCUCCGUGAAGUGCUUACCUGUCCUCACAGUAAUUGUCGCUGCCUUUUCUCGCUGUAUAGCCCAACGAUUUUUUUUUAUUUUCAUCGGUGGGAAAACUAUGUAAUGAUAAAUAGGUACGGUUUUUUUUUAUUAUUAUUAUUAGAACACAAAGGCACACUAUACACAUCUGAUUACUUUUGGUCUCCGCCAUUUUUCGGCAAGCGAAUGAACGCAAGAUUGAGGAGUCACGUGCCGAUUUCGGUUGAUUUGGGAGGGGUCUGAGCCGGUCGGCCCUGAUGGAAGGAUACGCUAUCCGUUGCCAGGGGCAAUGCCUUCAGAACUUCACAGAGGCGCGACUAAACAUUUCAGAGCGCUUUCAUCUUUGCGCAUUUAUUUUGUCGGCGGAACAGAUCAAGAUGGAUCUACGAAUACGAGAAAGAAAAGCAAUGCAAAAACAUAAGGCGAAAGAAAGGGGACCUUACAGGAACAAGCUCACACCAAGCGUAAAACAGCUGUGUUUGGAGAAGCUCUCAGCCAGCUCCCUGCAGCGGCACAGAGACCUGAACAAUUUACCUCAGUGCACACAUAUGGACAUUGGGAAUUAUAUUGUUUACAAUGUUUGUUGCUUUGCUUUCACGCUGUUAAUGGCUUUAAUCUAUCCGGACAUUUACAUCUUGCAAUCACACUUGCAAUCACCAGAACUGGUUUGUCCACUUUGCAGCCCCCAACACAAAAACCUGGUACAGUAUGUGUCAUUGGGCUAAAAUCAAAUCAUAACUAAACAUACACAGCUUUAGCCUACAUCAAAACAUGUUGGAAGCGAUCCUAUACAUUGAACAUCUCAAUGCAAUCUAGUGUUUACGAAACAGUCACAGUUAAUUACUUUGUCAUUUUGGUCAAGAUGUGCAGUCUAAAUGCAAUGUAAUUACAAUACACUAAAACGCAUGUGAAUAAACUUACUUUGUCCAGUACAACACUGUUUUCAUCACCUGCUGUAGAUGGUCCCAGCCACAGUAUAAAGCCUUGUAACUUUCCAAAGACUUGUGGCUUUUAAACUCCUGCAUUGUGUAGUAACUUAAACCAAAAAAAAAAAAUAUAUAUAUAUAUAUAUAUAUAUAUAAUUCCCAAUGUCCAUAUGUGUGCAUGGAGGUAAAUGGUCCAGGUCUCUGUGCCGCUUGAGAGCUUCUCCAAAUACCGCUGUUUUGCGCUUGGUGUAACCAAAAAACUGUAUUCCAUUGUUCCUAUGUUUUCCAUAUGUAUCAUGUGAGGUACUGGAGCAGUUUUUAGCGCAGCAGUAACUGCAUGGUAAAACAGUACAGAAUUGCGAGAACCUCCUCUACUACAGAGUUAAAAACAUGUAAACAAUCCUGUUUCGCCGCCGGUAUCCUUCCAACGUGGCAGAGACCUUGAAAUCGAGGGAGGGGCUUUGUGCUAUGACGACAACUUCUCAAUAAUGCUUUCACUGGAAAAUAACUUGAGAUUCGUUCACAAAACAUUUGAUUCAGAACGGGACUCCGAAACGCGUUUGGCAAA